AAACGGGUGCGGAACACGUACACAACCUUCCUUUAAGAGGGGGAUAGCCCAGAGAAAUUUGGAUUAAUACCCCGUAAUAUUAUUGAAUGGCAUCAUUUAGUAAUUAAAGCUAAGGCGCUUGAAGAUGGGUGUGCGUCUGAUUAGGUGGUUGGUGCGGGUAAAGGCCCACCAAGCCUUCGAUCAGUAACUGGUGUGAGAGCACGACCAGUCACACGGGCACUGACGACACGGGCCCG
rnacentral:rRNA from 1 species